rnacentral:misc_RNA from 1 species
GAUGAAGAACGCAGCGAAAUGCGAUAAGUAAUGUGAAUUGCAGAAUUCAGUGAAUCAUCGAAUCUUUGAACGCACCUUGCGCCCUUUGGCUAUUCCAGAGGGCAUGCCUGUUUGAGUAUCAUGAACACCUCAACUCUCAUGGUUCUGCCAUGAUGAGCUUGGACUUUGGAGGUCUUGCUGGCCCCUGUGGUCAGCUCCUCUCAAAUGGAUCAGCUUGCCAGUGUUUGGUGGCAUCACAGGUGUGAUAACUAUCUACGCUUGUGGUUUUCCACCAGGUAACCUUCAGUGAUGGAGGUUCGCUGGAGCUCAUAAACGUCUCUCCUCAGCGAGGACAGCUUCUUGAACGUUUGAUCUCAAAUCAGGUAGGGCUACCCGCUGAACUUAAGCAUAUCAAUAAGGAGGA